GGCUGCUCUGGGCUCUGCCAGGGCUCUGCUGGGCUCAGCCCUGGGCACAGCUGGGCUGGCUCUGCCCUCACAUUGCUCUGACAGCUUUGCAUCAGACAAGCCCGUUCCGAGCACAGCGCCUGAGCUUUCUGCUUUGGCAGAGGUGCCACAAGUGGGCCAAAGCUGGCGAGUGGGCCGUGUCCCUGAGGCAGUGCAGUCUGGAGCUGAUGGAUGGAGAAUUGCCUUUCUGCACUCCCAAACCAGAGGAAAAAUCUAAAACAUGCUGUAAAAAAAGAGUGUCCUUUGCUCCUGGUUCCCAUGUGGAGCAGCUCCCUUCCUGCUGGCUGAGCUGCUCAGGCAGAGCCCGGCAGCUCCUGGCCAUGCAGGGCUGAGGCUUUUCCCCACUGCUGGGCACAGACUGAUGGAGCAGCACUGCUGAACACGGGCACACCCAGAGGGACCAAGAGCAGCUGCCUUUGCCCACCUGAGGCUCCAAGGCCCAAACUCUGAGCAGCCAGGGCUGGAAGAGACUCGCAGGCUCCCUGGUGGCUGUGCUGCCCCACUUGUGCCCGGCCCAGCUCUGCAUGAGGCAGAGGGAGAACAAGGGGCAGCUCCCUCUCAGCCCAG